rnacentral:rRNA from 1 species
CUAACAAGGAUUCCCCCAGUAACGGCGAGUGAAGCGGGAUGAGCUCAAAUUUGAAAUCUCCGGUGCUUGCGANNCGAGUUGUAGUUGCGAGAAGCACUUUCUCGGCGGAUCGGCGGCGCCUAAGUUGCUUGGAACAGCAUGUCGCAGAGGGUGACAACCCCGUCUGUGGCGCGGCCGGCCGCUCACGAUGUGCUUUCGAAGAGUCGGGUUGUUUGGGAAUGCAGCCCAAAAUGGGUGGUAAACUCCAUCUAAAGCUAAAUAUUGGCGUGAGACCGAUAGCGAAGGAAACGAAUGGACUCAGCAAUGCGCCGUUUGAGAUUCAGCCGGUGGGCGGAUCGGCGCGGGGUUUGCGGAUCUGAAUGGACCGCGGCUCCGGGCUCGUUUUCCCCCGCCGUCGCACUUCUCUUGGGCGCACGUCAACGUCGGUUGGAACUGGGUUUGAAAGGCGCUGGGAAGGUAGGUCUGGUCCUUCGGGUCCGGACUGUUACAGCCCGGUGUUCUCAUGGCUCGGGUCCGACCGAGGAGUCGCAGCGCAUGCCUCUUGUGGCUAGGGUCCCGUCCUUCCGGCCGGUUGUCGAAUGCGGUGGACUGCUUGCAGUGCUCCGUGACUGCUGCCGGUCGUUGGGGUGGUGAUCU